AUCUGAGGACGAAAACAAGUUAAAACAGCAAGUCAAGCAGAUUCAUUUAUGUUUUCCUCUCCAUAAAUUCAAAUCAUAAUCCUGUCAUCACAACAAGGUUCUCUGCCGCCUGUGUUUGUAUUGACCUGUCACCAUUUUAUGUGUGCAUGUGCUAGGUGCACGUCUCAGGCUUCAUCUUCACAGUCUCAAGGCAACAACAUUUUUCUUUUCCGUCCAAUUUGUCUCCAUCUGCAGGUCACGACUGAACCGACUUCAAGGAAGAAAAAGGCGAGGGAGGAAAGUGUUACAGGGACUGAGGCUGUUAGGAUUUCAGGCUGCUUUUCUACGUCCACCAGAUCUGACAGCAGCUGAGACCACAAACACUGACAAUAAACCACACUUUGAUUUGUUCCUGAAGGCGGGCUUGAGAAUCUGAACUCCCAUCCUGAUUGGCCGAGAGGAGAGGGUGGACGACCCCGAGGUCAGGAACAGCACCGGCUUCCAACAUGGCGUCGUAGAGGAUGGAGCCAACGGCGUCCUGAGCCUGAGUGUAGUCUUCAUCUGAUGAGAACAACUGGCCCAUGUUGAGUGAAGAUAAAGAGCAGGAGAAAACGAGGACAAAAAGACCCAGAGAGGAAACGACGAGCUGCGGAGACGGUGGUUAGACGAAGAAGAAUUCAAGGGAAGAAAUUUGAUUUUGUUAAAUUGGAUUUGAUUCACGUUUCACCACCAAUAUGGUGGUUUAAUCACGAUUAGUCAGUGAUUCCAGCUGUGCUGCUGGAAUCAUAGUCUUUUAGCAGUAGAUUAAAAAAACUAAAGCUGAUGUUUUCUGAGACUGUAGUCAAAGCUGCAGCAAAACAAAAUCACUGUUUGUCUUGUCCUUUUUUUUU